rnacentral:sRNA from 1 species
AGCCGGCCGGGCCUGGGAACGUGGCUGGUUGGAGGAGGUGGAUCACCGUUUCUGCGGUGGACGAUUUCGUCGGUGGUAGGCUGCUACCAUGAGGUUGAAUCAGAACACCUUGCUGCUGGGGAAGAAGGUGGUCCUUGUACCCUACACCUCGGAGCAUGUGCCCAGGUACCACGAGUGGAUGAAAUCAGAGGAGCUGCAGCGUUUGACAGCCUCAGAGCCGCUGACCCUGGAGCAGGAGUAUGCCAUGCAGCGCAGCUGGCGGGAAGAUGCAGACAAGUGUACCUUCAUUGUGCUGGAUGCCGAGAAGUGGCAGGCCCAGCCAGGCACCACUGAAGAGAGCUGCAUGGUGGGAGAUGUGAACCUCUUCCUCACGGAUCUAGAAGACCCCACCUUGGGGGAGAUCGAGGUCAUGAUUGCAGGAGGAGGCCCUCCUGUUUCUGCUCCUUCUUGGUCCUCAGUUUCCCCCAAGUGACUACUGACUAUCCCCAUGAGGCAGCAUACUGACUCCAUGAGGUAAAGGGGUCAGCUUCGAAGUCAGGUUGCUGGGUUGCAAG